rnacentral:misc_RNA from 1 species
AAACCCUCAUCCAUGCGUUCUUACCGACGCAUGAAUGGAUUUGAGUGUUGCCGUAAUCGGCUCGCUCUGAAAUGCAUUAGCUUUGCGUCUAUUAGCGCGCUCGGCGUGGUGUGAUAAUUAUCUUCACCUAGCCUUAGGCCGCUUCCAAUGUCGCUGCUUCCAAUGGUCUUCACGGACAAAUCCAAUUAAAG